GAUGAACGCUGGCGGCGUGCUUAACACAUGCAAGUCGAACGAAGCAUUUACGACAGAUUUCUUCGGAUUGAAGUUGUUUAUGACUGAGUGGCGGACGGGUGAGUAACGCGUGGGUAACCUGCCUUGUACUGGGGGAUAGCAGCUGGAAACGGCUGGUAAUACCGCAUAAGCGCACGGUGCUGCAUGGCACAGUGUGAAAAACUCCGGUGGUAUAAGAUGGACCCGCGUCUGAUUAGCUAGUUGGUGAGAUAACAGCCCACCAAGGCGACGAUCAGUAGCCGACCUGAGAGGGUGACCGGCCACAUUGGGACUGAGACACGGCCCAGACUCCUACGGGAGGCAGCAGUGGGGAAUAUUGCACAAUGGAGGAAACUCUGAUGCAGCGACGCCGCGUGAGUGAAGAAGUAAUUCGUUAUGUAAAGCUCUAUCAGCAGGGAAGAUAGUGACGGUACCUGACUAAGAAGCUCCGGCUAAAUACGUGCCAGCAGCCGCCGUAA
rnacentral:rRNA from 1 species